UGAGGAAUAUUGCGCAAUGGGGGCAACCCUGACGCAGCGACGCCGCGUGAGUGAGGAAGGCCUUCGGGUCGUAAAGCUCUGUCAAAGGGAAAGAAGUGUGCAAUGGCUAAUACCUGUUGCAUUUGACGGUACCCUUAAAGGAAGCACCGGCUAACUCCGUGCCAGCAGCCGCGGUAAUACGGAGGGUGCAAGCGUUGUUCGGAAUCACUGGGCGUAAAGGGCGCGCAGGCGGUUUGAUAAGUCAGAUGUGAAAGCCCAUGGCUUAACUGUGGAAGUGCAUUUGAAACUGUCAGACUUGAGUAUCAGAGGGGAAAGUGGAAUUCCCGGUGUAGAGGUGAAAUUCGUAGAUAUCGGGAGGAACACCAGAGGCGUAGGCGGUUCUCUAGGCUAGUCCUGACACUGAGACACGAAAGCUAGGGGAGCAAACG
rnacentral:rRNA from 1 species